rnacentral:tmRNA from 1 species
GGGGGUAUUCUGGUUUCGACGAAACUGUGGAUCUCCGCACUGCAACCAGAGGUUGGUCGGCUGGCCUCUAUAAAAGCCGCCCACACAAACAGAAGGCAAUGUCAUCGACAUCAACUUCGCCCCCAGCGUCGCGGAAGCUGACGCCAUCCUCGCCAAAUUCGGCUAUGCCGAACGCGAGCUGGCAGCUGCCUAAGCGCACUGGUCCGGCCUGGAGCAAUCCCGCCGGAAGGUUCUCGCAGCUGGCUGCGUGAUAGGUGCCUGUCCCGAAUGACAUGCAACGGUGCUACAGCGUAGCUGUGGCAGACGCCGAUGAUUCGGCUGGGUCGCCUGACCGAGAGAGGGCUGGGUUGUCAUCUGCCGAGUACGGGUGACUAUGGUUGUAGAUGUGCGUGGUGAAGUGGUUCCGGACAGGGGUUCGACUCCCCUUACCUCCACCA